rnacentral:rRNA from 1 species
UACGUAGGGGGCAAGCGUUGUCCGGAAUCAUUGGGCGUAAAGCGCGUGUAGGCGGUCCGGUAAGUCCGCUGUGAAAGUCGGGGGGCUCAACCCUCGGAUGCCGGUGGAUACUGUCGGGCUUGAGUACGGAAGAGGCGAGUGGAAUUCCUGGUGUAGCGGUGAAAUGCGCAGAUAUCAGGAGGAACACCAAUUGCGAAGGCAGCUCGCUGGGACGUUACUGACUCUGAGACGCGAAAGCCAGGGGAGCAAACGGG